AUACAGUAAAGAAAAUGACUGUGUGCAAUGGUGGCCAACAGCAGCCUCCUCAGUAGUGUAUGAAGCUUGUUGCUUUGUGGAUUGCCUUAAGGGGCCUCGGAGACCACU